UCUCCUUUCAGAUUCUCAGCGUGUUGAUA
rnacentral:piRNA from 1 species